UACAGAGGGUGCGAGCGUUAAUCGGAAUUACUGGGCGUAAAGCGCGCGUAGGCGGCUUUGCAAGUCGGGUGUGAAAUCCCCAGGCUUAACCUGGGAACUGCAUUCGAGACUGCAUUGCUAGAGUAUGGGAGAGGGAAGUGGAAUUUCCGGUGUAGCGGUGAAAUGCGUAGAUAUUGGAAGGAACAUCAGUGGCGAAAGCGACUUCCUGGACCAAUACUGACGCUCAUGUGCGAAAGCGUGGGGAGCAAACAGG
rnacentral:rRNA from 1 species